UACGGAGGGUGCAAGCGUUAUCCGGAUUCACUGGGUUUAAAGGGUGCGUAGGCGGAUAGGUAAGUCCGUGGUGAAAUCUCUCGACUUAAUCGGGAAACUGCCAUGGAUACUAUUUAUCUUGAAUGUUGUGGAGGUUAACGGAAUAUGUCAUGUAGCGGUGAAAUGCUUAGAUAUGACAUAGAACACCAAUUGCGAAGGCAGUUAACUACACAAAUAUUGACGCUGAUGCACGAAAGCGUGGGGAUCAAACAGG
rnacentral:rRNA from 1 species